rnacentral:rRNA from 1 species
GAACGCGAAGAACCUUACCCGGGCUUGAACUAAGCAGGAAGAUGGGCAGAGACGCCCGUUGUCUUCGGACCUGCUUGGAGGUGCUGCAUGGUUGUCGUCAGCUCGUGCCGCGAGGUGUCGGCUUAAGUGCCAUAACGAGCGCAACCCUUCUCCACGUUUGCCAUCAGGUUUAGCUGGGCACUCCGUGGAUACUGCCAUCGUAAGAUGUGAGGAAGGUGGGGAUGACGUCAAAUCAGCACGGCCCUUACGUCCGGGGCUACACACGUGUUACAAUGGCCGGUACAGAGGGAAGCCACCAGGCGACUGGGCGCUGAUCCAUGAAAACCGGUCUCAGUUCGGACUGGAGUCUGCAACCCGACUCCACGAAGCUGGAUUCGCUAGUAAUCGCGCAUCAGCCAUGGCGCGGUGAAUACGUUCCCGGGUCUUGUACACACC